CCUACGGGAGUCAGCAGUGGGGAAUAUUGCACAAUGGGGGAGACCCUGAUGCAGCGACGCCGCGUGAGUGAAGAAGCGCCUCGGCGCGUAAAGCUCUUUCAGCAGGAACGAUAAUGACGGUACCUGAAGAAGAAGCCCCGGCUAACUACGUGCCAGCCGCCGCGGUACUGCGUAGGGGGCAAGCGUUAUCCGGAUUUACUGGGUGUAAAGGGAGCGUAGGCGGCGGGGUAAGUCUGGAGUGAAAGGCCGGGGCCCAACCCCGGUACCGCCCUUGAAACUGCCCGGCUGGAGUGCGGGAGAGGUAAGCGGAAUGUCUAGUGUAGCGGUGAAAUGCGUAGAUAUUAGGAGGAACACCAGUGGCGAAGGCGGCUUACUGGACCGUGACUGACGUUGAGGCUCGAAAGCGUGGGGAGCAAACAGGAUUAGAUACCCCUGUAGUC
rnacentral:rRNA from 1 species